rnacentral:tRNA from 1 species
GCAUUGAUAGCUCAAAGCAGAGCAUAGCACUGAAGAUGCUAAGGUGGCAAUAAAGUCUCAAAGCA